AGCUAAUUAAGCUUUUGGGCCCAUACCCCAACCAUGUUGGUUAAAAUCCUUCCUAUGCUAAUGAAUCCU
rnacentral:tRNA from 1 species